ensembl:processed_transcript A930005H10Rik RIKEN cDNA A930005H10 gene
AGAUGACAGACCGCUCCAGGAACGAGCUAUAGAGCGAUCGCAUACCCCCGCAAGGCCCUCCAGGACUCGCUGACUCCCGGGCAGGGGUCAAGGGUCAGGAAUGGGUCCAGCUGUGCGCCUGGAAAGGACCCAGCGUGCCCACGCUCCCGGCAAGCCAGGACUCAAACAUCCCCAAAGGGCGUCCGGGCUGAUGACGAUAGCUCCCAAUCGCCCUCCAGACGCACACUGGCAGGAACAACCGGAGGGACUUCCCUGACCGACCCCGCGUUUGCUCAGCUUUGAAUUCCCGCUCUGUAGAUCUGUCGCAAUUUAACCAGAAGUCACCCUGAAGACGGUACCAAAAUCUCUGGAACUGGAGUUACAGAUGUUUAUAAGCCACCAUUGCAUGGAGCUGUUUGAGAAAGAUCAGAGGAUGUGCCCUUGUUGGAGGAGAUG